UACGGAGGGUGCGAGCGUUGUCCGGAAUCACUGGGCGUAAAGCGCACGUAGGCGGCUUUCUAAGUCGGGGGUGAAAUCCUGGAGCUCAACUCCAGAACUGCCUUCGAUACUGGAGAGCUCGAGUCCGGGAGAGGUGAGUGGAACUGCGAGUGUAGAGGUGAAAUUCGUAGAUAUUCGCAAGAACACCAGUGGCGAAGGCGGCUCCCUGGCCCGGUACUGACGCUGAGGUGCGAAAGCGUGGGGAGCAAACAGG
rnacentral:rRNA from 1 species